GUCCGGUGCUGACCCGGAUAGAGACCCGGGUGAUGUCCGGUACUGACCCGGUGACCGCAGCACGUCCUCCGGUGAGAAGCUGCUGAAGGAGCCGCAGACGCAGCGGCAGGUGGACGAAGCUCCUGCGGGGUUUGAGUCGCUUCAAGUCGGUUCAUCAGUCCGGAAGUUGUCGUGUUAGCCGCUAAGCUAACGGCAGAGGAGGGAUGCUAAGUGCUAAGCUAAGAUGCUAACAGCGCAGUGGGAGGGAUGGAGGAGCCUCAGAUGUUGUGAGGAGGAACGAUGUCGUCAGGUCCGGCUGCUCGUCCGUCUCCGUCUCCUGCGUCUCUACAUGAAACUGUUGACGACAGUGAAAACACGAGAACGAUGGAAAUGAGCCGACGGCCUGAAGGUGAGUGACUUAAAGUCGACAUGAAACGCUGAGUUGAAACAACUUCUUAUCUUUAGAUGUAACUAACGUGAAUGUUUUUACACAUGAACUCUGGAACAUUGUUCAUAUCUAAAAAAUACAAAAACAUUAUACAUAAAAACUGUAAAAGUACAACAUGACAAUGUUAGAAGGAAGUAAAAUACACACAAGAAUGAAUGGCAGUGGUCAGCGUGCAGCUGGACGACUCAACAGUGCACGUGUGAGAAAUAGU